rnacentral:rRNA from 1 species
AGAUUGAACGCUGGCGGCAUGCCUAACACAUGCAAGUCGAACGGGAGUAGCAAUACUCUAGUGGCGGACGGGUGAGGAAUACGUAGGAAUUUGCCCUUAAGUGGGGGAUAACCCGGGGAAACCCGGAUUAAUACCGCAUGACCUCGAAAGAGCAAAGUGGGGGAUCGCAAGACCUCACGCUUUUGGAGAAGCCUACGUCGGAUUAGCUAGUUGGUGAGGUAAUGGCUCACCAAGGCGACGAUCCGUAACUGGUCUGAGAGGAUGAUCAGUCACACCGGAACUGAGACACGGUCCGGACUCCUACGGGAGCAGCA